rnacentral:rRNA from 1 species
UACGUAGGUGGCAAGCGUUGUCCGGAUUUACUGGGCGUAAAGAGCGCGCAGGCGGUCGUUCAAGUCGCGUGUGAAAGCCCCCGGCUCAACUGGGGAGGGUCACGCGAUACUGAUCGACUCGAAGGCAGGAGAGGGUAGUGGAAUUCCCGGUGUAGUGGUGAAAUGCGUAGAUAUCGGGAGGAACACCAGUGGCGAAGGCGACUACCUGGCCUGUUCUUGACGCUGAGGCGCGAAAGCUAGGGGAGCAAGCGGG